rnacentral:lncRNA from 1 species
UUUUCAUGUAGGAUUUUGAUAUUUUUUUUUCGAUGCAGAUGGUCGUAUCAGGUACGAUUUUCUCAAAUAAUUCUCGAAUUUUUGUUUUUCGUUCAUUAACUUGUUUAAUUUGUUACUGAAUUCUACCUUCCAAUUCUACCAAUAAUAUUCAACCAGGUAUUUAUUUGGAUUAAAUUUGUUGAGAUAAAGUUUCUAUGGGGUAUUUAUUUGGAUUAAAUUUGUUGAGAUAAAGUUUCUAUGGCUGGGCUGGGAUGCAGGGGGAGGAAUUCAUUAGGUUGUUAUUAGCAAAUACCACUAUUUGUUGAGCUAGGAUGCAUAUUGGUGCUUAAAAACUCUUUCUUCACUCAACAAAUUUUAUCAAUGCUUUUAACUCAUUCCUCCAUUUGUUCAUGGAAUUAUGUAAUGAUGAUUUGAUGUAAAUCCUUACUAAUUAAGAAUCUUGGCUACAAUCUUCUUGGCUUGACAUUCAGCUAAGUUAAAGUUAAUUGUGAAAUCUUCAUUUCUUUCAUUUAGAGUUCUCUUGGCAUAUCGUUAGUUUAGUUGAUAUGUUUGUUUGCUACCAUUCAUUAUUGUAGUUUUUCACCAUUCUUCACUUGUGGAUUGUUUGGUAGGAAGUUUUGUGAGAUAAUUCUUUGUGGAAUGACUAGGUGAUUGUUAGGACAGUUCUUAUGCAAUUUUUGUAUGCAUAAGCAACCUUUUUCUCCCCUUCCCCCAUGAUUCUUUUCAAUUCUGAAAACCUCGGGUAGCUUCUAUGUUUUCUUUCCUCUUCCCGUGAUUACUCUUUUAUGUUUUCUUUCAUCAUCGUCCCAUGUUUACUCUUCUAUGUUUUCUUUCCUCUUUCCAUGUAUACUCUUGUGUCUUCUCGUGACUAUAUUUCUAUAUCUAUACCUUUUGUUCUUCUUUUAUCACAACUUUUUGGUGAACUUUUCACCUUCCUUGAAAACACAUUUGAAUCCUAAGUCAUAUUUUUUUAAAAAAUGAAGCGAGUUUUACUCUCUUGUCCUAUAAUGGAUGCUUAUAUUCAUGUUGUCUUUGUAGGUUCAACUGGAAUCGACAACUUCAUGAGUUUACUUUCAAAGAACACUUUCAGAGACGAACAUUCUCGGUUGGUCGUUUAUGUUUUAGCAGAAAAUCUUGUUAUAUGUAUUCUGAUGCAAUUUAAAAUAUUUUUUGAUUAAGGGCUAGGAUUCCGUACUUGUAAAUUGUUGGAAGUUGAUUGGAAAUGUACGAAUAUUAUAAAUUGUAUUAUAGCGUAUAUAUAUUAAAGUGUCGGCUAUUUUUUCUAUAUGGGUGUCAAUAUUAUAAAUUCAAAAUUGUCAUUGUCGGCUACAUUAUUGUCAUUCAAAUGGUUCGUGUAAUGGCGGAGUGGCAAAGAGAACAGAAAAAAAUUGUAGUAAUCGAGUAAUUUGCAACAGGAAAAACAUG